AAGAAGAAGGAUAGUGAGACCAACGCAGUAAUUAGUGGGAGGCAGAGGAGGCCUCAGAUCAGAAGAAAUCCACCACCCCGUCAACAUCAUCAUCAUCAAGUGUCAUCAGUAAUUCUGGUAUUUUCUAAUCAACAAGCAACACCAACUCAACAACAACAACAAAAUCAACAUCAACAACAACAACCGCAACAAAGAACGAACACCUACAACAACA
rnacentral:lncRNA from 1 species